rnacentral:rRNA from 1 species
CGGAGUAAUACAUAAGUAACCUGCCCUAGACAGGGGGAGUAACUAUUGGAAACGAUAGCUAAGACCGCAUAGGUACGGACACUGCAUGGUGACCGUAUUAAAAGUGCCUCAAAGCACUGGUAGAGGAUGGACUUAUGGCGCAUUAGCUGGUUGGCGGGGUAACGGCCCACCAAGGCGACGAUGCGUAGCCGACCUGAGAGGGUGACCGGCCACACUGGGACUGAGACACGGCCCAG